rnacentral:tRNA from 1 species
CCGAUCUUAGCUCAGUUGGAAGAGCGUGGGACUGUAAUAGGAUGCAAAACUAUCCCGAGGCCGUGCGUUCGAUCCGCACAGAUCGGA